rnacentral:rRNA from 1 species
UACGUAGGGGGCUAGCGUUAUCCGGAAUUACUGGGCGUAAAGGGUGCGUAGGUGGUUUCUUAAGUCAGAGGUGAAAGACUACGGCUCAACCGUAGUAAGCCUUUGAAACUGGGGAACUUGAGUGCAGGAGAGGAGAGUGGAAUUCCUAGUGUAGCGGUGAAAUGCGUAGAUAUUAGGAGGAACACCAGUUGCGAAGGCGGCUCUCUGGACUGUAACUGACACUGAGGCACGAAAGCGUGGGGAGCAAACAGG